CCUCCCUCAACCCGUUCAUCUCUGCUGCAGAGCUUCCGGGCAGGUGUCAGUCACACUGGGCUUCUUCAUCCCAGACAUAAGGGCAGCUCAAACCCCACCCAGAACGGAUGGAGCUGGAGGUAAAGCCAACUCCACAAAUUCUCCAGUCAGGGCUUGAAGCGCUCCAUGUGCGGACGGUCCUGACACUGUACGCCUGGACUAUGCUAUCUAUUACACAGUUUGCUCCAGGAACAGGACAGUAAGUGUGGAAGGUGAUGGGACAGAGACAAAAAAGUUCCACCCUUUUCACCUGCCCUGGAUGUCUUCCUUGGGAGAGUCACCCCAGAGCUAGCUGCCUGGCCUGAAGGACGGGCUUACAUGCAGGUCAUAGACUGUGUUGGUGGCAACUGGUGUAUACCAGCCAUGGGAGGACAUGCUAGUGAAGACAGGCUGGGGAAGUCACAGCUGGUCCCGUCUCCCUUCUCUCCAGGUGCACUGUGGCCAGCUGAGUGACAGUGAGGAGCAGAGCCUGCAGGUGGUGGAGAAGCAUG
rnacentral:lncRNA from 1 species